rnacentral:rRNA from 1 species
CGUUAUCGAAGAUGAAGACAGGCGCGAACGAUCUACCAGAAAGUGAGCGCAGGUCUUUAGAUCUGAUACAAGUCGUAACAAGGUAGCUGUAGGUGAACCUGUAGCUGG